UGGGAAUAUUGCACAAUGGGCGAAAGCCUGAUGCAGCAACGCCGCGUGAGUGAUGAAGGUCUUCGGAUUGUAAAGCUCUGUCUUUUGGGACGAUAAUGACGGUACCAAAGGAGGAAGCCACGGCUAACUACGUGCCAGCAGCCGCGGUAAUACGUAGGUGGCGAGCGUUGUCCGGAUUUACUGGGCGUAAAGGGUGCGUAGGCGGAUGUUUAAGUGAGAUGUGAAAUACCCGGGCUUAACUUGGGUGCUGCAUUUCAAACUGGAUAUCUAGAGUGCAGGAGAGGAGAAUGGAAUUCCUAGUGUAGCGGUGAAAUGCGUAGAGAUUAGGAAGAACACCAGUGGCGAAGGCGAUUCUCUGGACUGUAACUGACGCUGAGGCACGAAAGCGUGGGUAGCAAACAGGAUUAGAUACCCUGGUAGUCCACGCCGUAAACGAUGAGUACUAGGUGUAGGAGGUAUCGACCCCUUCUGUGCCGCAGUAAACACAUUAAGUACUCCGCCUGGGAAGUACGAUCGCAAGA
rnacentral:rRNA from 1 species